rnacentral:rRNA from 1 species
GAUGAACGCUGGCGGCGUGCCUAAUACAUGCAAGUCGAGCGAACAGACGAGGAGCUUGCUCCUCUGACGUUAGCGGCGGACGGGUGAGUAACACGUGGAUAACCUACCUAUAAGACUGGGAUAACUUCGGGAAACCGGAGCUAAUACCGGAUAAUAUAUUGAACCGCAUGGUUCAAUAGUGAAAGACGGUUUUGCUGUCACUUAUAGAUGGAUCCGCGCCGCAUUAGCUAGUUGGUAAGGUAACGGCUUACCAAGGCGACGAUGCGUAGCCGACCUGAGAGGGUGAUCGGCCACACUGGAACUGAGACAAGGUCCAGACUCCUACGGGAGGCAGCAGUAGGGAAUCUUCCGCAAUGGGCGAAAGCCUGACGGAGCAACGCCGCGUGAGGGAUGAAGGUCUUCGGAUCGUAAAACUCUGUUAUUAGGGAAGAACAAAUGUGUAAGUAACUAUGCACGUCUUGACGGUACCUAAUCAGAAAGCCACGGCUAACUACGUG